rnacentral:rRNA from 1 species
UACAGAGGUCUCAAGCGUUGUUCGGAUUCAUUGGGCGUAAAGGGUGCGUAGGUGGCGCGCUAAGUCAGGUGUGAAAUUUUCGGAGCUUAACUCCGAAACUGCAUUCGAUACUGGCGUGCUUGAGGACUGGAGAGGAGACUGGAAUUCAUGGUGUAGCAGUGAAAUGCGUAGAGAUCAUGAGGAAGACCAGUGGCGAAGGCGGGUCUCUGGACAGUUCCUGACACUGAGACACGAAGGCCAGGGGAGCAAACAGG